CCUUGGAAGUGGAAGCAAAAGUGGGACAGCCACUAUUCUGUGCCCUAUAUAUAUAUACACAUUCAUCUCGUAGUGCAGACCCUGUGCUCUGACAUCUUCCAAUAGCUUACCAUACCAAAACUAAUGGGAAGAAUGGCUGAGCCCUUUUAUAUCAUCGCAAUUCUGCAGUUAGUUUGAUGUUCACAGGUUUUACCAUAACUGCCAUGCCAGGAAACCAUGCCGCAGCAGUGGCCACUGAGUUGACGAGCCUCCAGGCACCGACCAACUCAGAAACCAGCUCCCUGCCCCAGCGACUGUCAUCUUGGACGACUGUUGCGUCUCGAAACGGAAGCCAUGUCGUCGCAUUGCUAAUGUUCAGACCCCUGCUACACCAAUUGUGGCGCAGCAUACACGGGAGCAACUGUCACAGAUCCGUUGAUUCCGCAGAAUACCGGAACUACGACCUUCAAUCUCCUAUUCAUUCUUCGAAUUGCUAGGAAACCGACAUCAAACUCGAAUCGAAUCCGAGAAUGGGUGAAAGAGCAUGGUAGCUCCAAAACUUUAUUGAUAAUCCAAAAACUGUCUUAACCCUAGGGCUUACAUCGUUUAAAUAGAGAAAACGAAAAUAUAACGGAAAAAAAUUCUUUAAAAUAAAUUAUUUCCUAAAAUAGCAAAAAACGCCCUAAAUAACAUAAAAUUGCAUGUUUGAGACCCUAAAAGAUGGAAUUCGGCCUAAAUCUCGUCUUUUCAUUGCCAAAGGUAACGAGUUGUGCUCCGAAGGCCGUUUCCCUCGAAAUAUGGUCGUCAGAACUUGUUUUUUUUCAAUGUACCGAUUUGCUACUUUUUCUGCCGCUUCAAAUUGCCAUCCUGGAUGGUAACUGUUGUGUCCCCAAAAGGAAGUCAUGUUGUCACGUUGCUAGUUUUCAGGCCCCUACUGUAGCGACUGCCAUCCAGAUGUUGAUUGUUGCUUCCCCUACGUGAAGCCAUGCUGUCACAUUGGCUGAUGUUCUGCCCCUCUUGCAGUGACUGCCAGCCUGGACAAAUGUUGCUACUUACCGUAAUGUGAAGCCUCGCUGUCCCGGUUCCAAAACUUUAGCGAGUUGGUCCGUUGAUAAAUAAAGUUGAGUUGUAUGUCAUUAGGGGUACGUAUAUUUGGGUAUAUAAGUGUGUUCUGAUAAGGACGUAAUUGUGUUGGGAGGGAGAAUAACCUUUAGUGCUCGAUCUCCCGACUGGAUUAGUCAGAUCCCAUUGGGAUCUGAAUACUAGGGUACACACCGAAAAAAAUGUUUGAAAGAGAAUAAGAUGGUGUUUUGUGUGUGAAUUUAUAAUGGGUUACUAUGAUCAUUAGAAAUCUAUAGGAGUUAAUUUUCUUUUAAAGUAAUUUAGACUCAAUUCAAUUUUGGUAA